GACGUAGGGCGCGAGCGUUGUCCGGAUUUAUUGGGCGUAAAGAGCUCGUAGGCGGCUUGUCGCGUCGAAUGUGAAAUCUCAGGGCUCAACUCUGACAUUGCAUUCGAUACGGGCAGGCUAGAGUUCGGUAGGGGAGACUGGAAUUCCUGGCGUAGCGGUGAAAUGCGCAGAUAUCAGGAGGAACACCGGUGGCGAAGGCGGGUCUCUGGGCCGAUACUGACGCUGAGGAGCGAAAGCGUGGGGAGCGAACAGG
rnacentral:rRNA from 1 species